rnacentral:rRNA from 1 species
GUGUUAGUACUUGCCAACUAAUAAAAUGGUGAAACCGCGAAAGGCUCAUUAAAUCGGCUUUGGUUCAUUGGAUAGUGCGCAGAUUUGAAUUUUUCGUCGAGAGCAAAAUUUGCUCACGUGAAAGAUGCAAUCUACAAUGGAUAACUGUGGUAAUCCUAGAGCUAAUACAUGAAAUCGAUAGGUGCGAAGCAUGUGAUCACCAUGCCAUGCGUGUGGUGUCGCAUACACUUUGCACGCUUUUAUUAGAGGAAAAAGCCAAUUUUAUCGACAUUGCGCGCGUUCGCAUUACGUGAACGCGUGCACAUCUGUUACAGAUGGAAACGUCGAGACAAAUUUAAACACUUGGUGUUGAAUCUGAAUAACUUGAACGAAUCUGUGCGCACGGGUCUGUCGCGUGCCUGUCGCGCCCGCACUUCGGUGCGAGCGCGCGACUCGAAUGCGACGGGCCUCGGUGUGCACGGGUUUAAAGCAGACCGCAAUCAAAGGCGGGCAUCGAUACGCACAACUUGUUGUGCCCGGUGCACGCCGAUGCGGCGUAUCUUUCAAUUGUCUGCCUUAUCAACUGUCGAUGGUAGAUUACAUGCCUACCAUGGUUGUAACGGGUAACGGGGAAUCAGGGUUCGAUUCCGGAGAGGGAGCCUGAGAAACGGCUACCACAUCUAAGGAAGGCAGCAGGCACGCAAAUUACCCACUCCCGGCACGGGGAGGUAGUGACGAUAAAUAACGAUCCGGGACUCUAAUGAGUUUCCGUAAUCGGAAUGAGUACAGUUUAAAUCCUUUAACGAGGAACAAGUGGAGGGCAAGUCUGGUGCCAGCAGCCGCGGUAAUUCCAGCUCCACUAGUAUAUAUUAAAGUUGUUGCGUUUAAAAAGCUCGUAGUUGAAUCUGUAUCUCAUACUGUCAAUCGUUCGUGAUUCAAUUCACGUGGUUUGACAUCACUUGUAUGAGAUAUGCAUGCUGGCGGGUCGCUAUGCGUUUGGUCGUGCCCGGGCCUUGAAUGUGUCGUCGACGCCGUCAACGCUGCCGCUGUGUGCGGCUUUGUCGCGCCGCGACAGCGUGGUGGCGACGGCGCUGCUCUCGGCGCUGCCAUUCGUGUGACCCGAUGCGUCGUGUUCGAUUCACUUCGUGCACGUCACGCAUUCUGAUCGAGGAUCGUGUGCACGCACGCGCCCGCUGUCUAACGCGCGUUCAUUAAUGCGCAGACAUGCGCGGCGAGCGUGCGCGCGACUCUAACGUCGGGCCAGUAGAAUUACUUUGAACAAAUUAAGGUGCUCAAAGCAGGCAAAUUUAUAUGCCUUGAAUAUCGCAGCAUGGAAUAAUAGAAUAUGAUCUCGGUACCGUUUUCAUUUGAAAUUGGCUUAAAGUGGCAGAUAAGCUAAAUUCGGCGCGCCGGGCACGGCGCACGGCUGUCUCGGCACGCUUGCCGCGCGCGCACGCACACUCACUUGUUGUUUAUGCGUGCGCCGCGCUUGCGUGCACGUACGAGCGCCGCACGCUGUCUAUGUGUUCGCGCGUAUGCUCGAAUUAUUUGCCACGACGGUAUAC